CCUACGGGAGGCAGCAGCGGGGAAUUUUGGACAAUGGACGCAAGUCUGAUCCAGCCAUGCCGCGUGCGGGAAGAAGGCCUUCGGGUUGUAAACCGCUUUUGUCAGGGAAGAAAUCUUCUGAAUUAAUACUUCGGGAGGAUGACGGUACCUGAAGAAUAAGCACCGGCUAACUACGUGCCAGCAGCCGCGGUAAUACGUAGGGUGCAAGCGUUAAUCGGAAUUACUGGGCGUAAAGCGUGCGCAGGCGGUUAUGCAAGACAGGUGUGAAAUCCCCGAGCUCAACUUGGGAACUGCACUUGUGACUGCAUAGCUAGAGUACGGUAGAGGGGAGUGGAAUUCCGCGUGUAGCAGUGAAAUGCGUAGAUAUGCGGAGGAACACCGAUGGCGAAGGCAGCUCCCUGGACCUGUACUGACGCUCAUGCACGAAAGCGUGGGGAGCAAACAGGAUUAGAUACCCUGGUAGUCCACGCCCUAAACGAUGUCAACUGGUUGUUGGGAGGGUUUCUCUCAGUAACGUAGCUAACGCGUGAAGUUGACCGCCUGGGGAGUACGGCCGCAAGGUUGAAACUCAAAUGAAUUGACCGG
rnacentral:rRNA from 1 species